rnacentral:rRNA from 1 species
CCGGCGCACGGGUGAGUAACACGUAUGCAAUCCACCUGUAACAGGGGGAUAACCCGGAGAAAUCCGGACUAAUACCCCAUAAUAUGGGCGCUCCGCAUGGAGAGCCCAUUAAAGAGAGCAAUUUUGGUUACAGACGAGCAUGCGCUCCAUUAGCCAAUUGGCGGGGUAACGGCCCACCAAAGCGACGAGGGAUAGGGGUUCUGAGAGGAAGGUCCCCCACAUUGGUACUGAGACACGGACCAA